rfam:Syphacia muris strain Valencia genome assembly, scaffold: SMTV_scaffold0000259
AAAUAGGUUUUUUUCAAAACUAUUUAUUCUUGCCUGCAAAUAAAAU